rnacentral:misc_RNA from 1 species
GCAAGUUUUAGUUAUUUAAGCAGACUGAUGUCCAACAAAAUUGAAUGGCCAAAAAGAAUCAAUACCAAUCCCAACUACUUUGAGAUUAAGGCUUAAUAGUUGUUGUUGUUCCCCUUAGUAGUUUAAUGGGAAUGAGAACUGAAUAAAUAGUCUAUGGAUGAUAAUGAACAUGGGAACAUGUAUAAACCAGAUUGUAAAUGCUUAAUUACAACUGUGGCAACUGUGGAUCAGCAGCUAUCACCCCCUCUCUCUCUCUCUCUCUCU